GACGAACGCUGGCGGCGUGCUUAACACAUGCAAGUCGAACGGUGAAGCGCCUUCCUUUUUGGUGGGUGUGGAUGAGUGGCGAACGGGUGAGUAACACGUGAGUAACCUGCCCCCUUCUUCUGGAUAACCGCAUGAAAGUGUGGCUAAUACGGGAUAUUCUGGGUCUGUCGCAUGAUGGGUCUGUGAAAGAUAUUGUUUCGGUGGGGGAUGGGCUCGCGGCCUAUCAGCUUGUUGGUGGGGUGAUGGCCUACCAAGGCGGUGACGGGUAGCCGGCCUGAGAGGGUGGACGGUCACACUGGGACUGAGACACGGCACAGACUCCUACGGGAGGCAGCAGUGGGGAAUAUUGCACAAUGGGCGCAAGCCUGAUGCAGCGACGCCGCGUGAGGGAUGGAGGCCUUCGGGUUGUGAACCUCUUUCGCCAGUGAAGCAGGCCUGCCUCGUUUGUGGGUGGGUUGACGGUAGCUGGAUAAGAAGCGCCGGCUAACUACGU
rnacentral:rRNA from 1 species